CCAAACAGGAAGCGCCCAGGCAAAUCUUCCGGUUGAGAACUCCUUCCCAGGAUCCAGUGCAACUUUUUCUUCUUGGGCACCCAGCGAAGCGAAUCAACUUACUCCUCCAGAGGUUCCUUGGGAUUGCCAGAUAAAUGAAGUGAAGCUCCCUGAGGUGAAGUGGGUAAAGUAAGCAGGACCUAAACUAGGAAACAGGUCUCAAAUUAUGCUGUCUGCAAUGAGGGGUGUUGUUGGCUGGAAUACUCUACCACUUCCUUAGCACAGGCUCCGGACGUGCAGGCUCAGCGGCCAUGGCUCACGGGCCCAGCCGCUCCGCGGCAUGUGGGAUCUUCCCGAACCGGGGCACGAACCCGUGUUCCCUGCAUCGGCAGGCAGACUCUCAACCACUGCGCCACCAGGGAAGCCCCUACCGGCAUUUUUUUAAAUGAAGCUGUGUUUACUAUCAAGUGGAGAAACCACCGACAAAAGCCGUCUCCUAACAGAAAAAGAAAGUGACCCUUAGCAUGGUCAAGCAACUUUCCCAGGAUAACAUGGCUACUGGACAAUGGAGCAAGAUUUUGGCCUGACCUCCCACACUAUUAACCACUCUGCCACGGGAGCAGGAAAAUGGGUACUCCACUCACAUGCUGUGCUCUAAGCAUAUCAGUUGGUAGACUCUUUCUGGAAGUACGCGGGCCUCUCACUGUUGUGGCCCCUCCUGUUGUGGAGCACAGGCUCCGGACGCGUAGGCUCAGCGGCCAUGGCUCACGAGCCCAGCCUCUCCGCGGCAUGUGGGAUCUUCCCGGACCGGGGCACGAACCCGUGUCCCCUGCAUCGGCAGGCGGACUCUCAACCACUGCGCCACCAGGGAAGCCCAAUAUGACUAGUCUUUUAACUCCUCUUGCUACGUCUCUGGGUUAUGUUGAAGGUGUUUGUGGUUCUAGAAUAGAGUAAUGCUUAAGAGCCAGGUUCCAGGGAUCAGGCUUUUAUAGGUUCCAUUCCUAAAUCCACCACUUAUUUUAGCUGUGUGAACUUGAACUCUCUCGGCUUCACGGGGAUACUAACAGCAUUAAGCAUUAAGUCCUAUGGCUUUUGAGAGAAUUAAUUAAGAUAAUAUAUGUAAAACACCACUAUGUCAGGUACACAGUAGUUAGUCAAGGGGAGCUGUUUUAUUAUUACUGUUUAUUAUUGUUUAAUGUUCAUUUUAAAAGUACAGUUGAAUUCUCUAGUAAAAGUUACUGUGCACUUUCUUCGGGUAUGCUCACCUGAAUAAUUUAAAUUUUUCUUUCAUAAGGAGAUGAGGAAAAGGGCAUCACUUAUGAUCUGAUCUAUUUAGACUUGUUAAACGUCAAUAUUUUAAAUGAUCCCUAUGGUUUUCUAAGAUCAGUUUUCUGUUUCUAAAAUUUUAUUUAUUUAUUUAUUUGGCUGCAUUGGGUCUUUUUGUUGCUGCGCGCGGGCUUUCUCUGGUCGCGGCGAGUGGGGGCUACUCUUCGUUGCGGUGCGCAGGCUUCUCAUUGCGGUGGCUUCUCUUGUUGCACAGCAUGGGCGCUAGGCACGCGGGCACAAGGGCUUAGUUGCCCCGCUUCAUGUGGGAUCUUCCCGGACCAGGGAUGGAACCUGUGUCCCCUGCAUUGGCAGGUGUAUUCUUUUUUUUUGGCAGGCGGAUUCUUAACGACUGUGCCACCAGGGAAGUCCCUAAGAUCAGUUUUCAUAAUCAAUGUGAUUACUAUACCUGUAUUGAUUAAUAAUGAGUGUAUGAACUGUUCAGAAUUCAUAGUCAAUCUAUACUUGUUUUGGCUAUGCCACAGACUGUUUGUUUUUGCAUAUAGAAUUUUGCAUAUAGUCUCAAAUUAAGCUGUGGACCCUCAUACACCCUAAUCCUCAUCAGACACCCAUGCUAUGUGGUUUGAAUAUUGCCAGUUUCCAUGGGAAAGGAACAUCAGAUUAAAUUCUGUGUGUUAUGGACAAGAAAAAUAUCAAUGAAAUAGCUUUAUCCUAUAGCACUGUAUGGCCAUUUCCAAGAGAGACUCCUUCCAUGUUUCCAUGCCAGUGUAGGGAGGAAUGAAUGAGUGCACACACAUGUAUAUACACACACACACGCACACACUUAAACUUCUUUUUAAUAAAAUAAAUUAAGAGAGUAGUAUUUACAUCCUUCUAGCACUGUUUCCUCUGAAUUCUGAAGAAACAGCUUGGGGAAAACCCUUGCUGUCUUUUGCCAAUAGAGUUGUUACACUGAAAUCUGAACCGGCUUUUCAGCUGGAUUUGGUCAUGUGAGUCAAAGCAGAGCUUGUGCUGUUAUGUGUGUCCCUGCCUCUCUCCACUCCCCCACAUUAGUUGAGCCUCACUGCUCUUCCCCAUAAUCCUCCCAGCCCCACUCUCCAGGUUUGCUAAGCCUCACUGCUCCAACAAGUAAUGCACUUCUGACACAAUGGGGGACAGCAGGGGCAGUGUGGGGGAAAUCAGAUAAUGCAGACACCAGCUUGACACUCUUGCUUCCCUUUGAGUGCCACAUUAUAAACUGGCCAAGUGAAACAUGAAGGUAUUAUCCCGUCUUAUCUGGUGGUUGAAAGGGGUGCAGCCUCCUUAAUGGUAAGGUUUUGGGCUUGUUGCCAAAGGAUUCUCACUUUCGCUGCUUCCCAUGUUCACCCAGAGUGCUCUCUCCUCCCCUCUGUUAGCUGUUUUGACUUGAACAUGCUCCCGGAUGAGAGAGGAUAACCUGUCAGGACCAGGUGUUGUCUCUGCCACACAAGUUUUAUGAAGAACGGGUCAAUUCCAAAGCCAAUUUAGAAAUGUGUACAACUGGAGGGAGAGUUUAGGGACUCCAGGAUACCUUACAGAUAACCUAGAUUUCAUAGAGUUUCCCACACUCAUGCACCUCCCCUGGACUGGCUUGAGUCUUCUGCCAGGGAAACCUGUCAUUCUUGGAUCACUAUCUUCCUAUCUCAGAGAAGAGCAUGUAAACACACACACACACACACACACACACACACACACACACACACACACACACACACACACACACACAUUGUUCAGAGUGAGAAUCUACAUGAAAUGGCUCCGGGGUUGUUUUUUUUCAGCAAGCUUCACAAGUGAAUCUGAUGCCUAAUCUGUACUUUGAGAAAGAAUGCCCACAGCAUUCCUAUAGUCCCAUCUAGAGACAAACUCAAGGGCUAACUUUUUAAAUUUAUGAGCCAUUCUGAUACAGCAAAACACGCUGAAGCUCAAAGUUCCUCUUAUUGCUGACAGUAAUCAAUAAUAAAAUGUAUAGCACUACUUUUGAAAAAAUGUCCGAAACAGGCGCCUAGUUUUCAUUAACUGUUAUGAGUAAAUGGCUUAAUAUGCCAGCGCCAAAAGCACAGCCUUCCGACAGCAUAAUUAAUUCUACAAAGACCAGCACACAGACCAUCAUCCAGUUGUUGUUUGUGUGACCCUGAAGAAAAUUAUUUAAGGUAUCUGAAGUUUGGUCUCAUUAUGGGUAAAAUGUGUUCUCUAUUUAUCUCAUAAAAUUUUCGAAGGAUUACAGAUAAGUAAAGACCCUUGCUUAACACGCAGUUCGUGGAGAGGAGCCACCAAUUCAGGGUGGCUCCCUUCCCUCCUGUUUCUGAGCCUUUCUUACAAACACCUAGACUUUGCUUUCCACCACGCCAGAGGCCUUAAUUUACCUGUUCGUCCACGAUGCUACAUGGCCACUCUAUUUAAGAGCUCAGGAAAGUAAGGCACACCAUCCUCGGAAAUCAAAGGCGUGUAUAGGUAAUAUUUCAUUAAAGCACGUAGAAGCCUGAUGUUGAAGGAGGCAAAGAUUCUCAUCUUCAUUUUACAGGCACUUGAAUUUUUUGAGGUUGUAUGCUUCUAAGAAAACAACCAAUCUGUGACCAAGAUGUAACUAAGACCCACAAUUUCUAAUUCCCAGGCUUUGACUCCAACCUCUGAAAAUGCUUCAAUUCAAUGAAGCUAAUGGCACUUUGGUCUCCGGCAUUAGAUCCUGUUAUCAAUGACUUCCACAUGGAAAGAUUAUUCCAAAAUGUGUGAUUAACCAAGAAAAUGCAAAUAAACCAAUUUGUACCUGCUAUUUAGAGAUUAUGCACAUUUACUAAAUUAAAAUGCUUUCUUGGGCUUCCCUAGUGGCGCCGUGGUUGAGGGUCUGCCUGCCAAUUCAGGGGACACGGGUUCAUGCCCCGGUCCGGGAAGAUCCCACAUGCCGCGGAGCGGCUGGGCCCGUGAGCCACGGCUACUGAGCCUGUGCGUCCAGAGCCUGUGCUCCACAACGGGAGAGGCCACAACAGUGAGAGGCCCGCGUACAGAAAAAAAAAAAAAAAAAGAUUUCUUUAUAGCUAAAAAGUUAUUAUGAUACAAACAUUUCUAUUUUUACAAUAAGAAGAGAUUAAAAGCAUUUUUCUUCUAACCUCAGCUUUUAGAAGGUCACUGCAUCCCUGUGACUCUAUAUCAUUUCACAUCUAAGUUAAGGUACUUUUUCUUCUUUGCUGUCAGGUAGUUAAAGAAAUAACCUAAACCAAAUAUAACUAAGUAAAGUAGCCUACCGAUGCCCCAGCCACAUGAGUCAUCUACAGUCAUCUCUCUUCCCAGUCCACGCAAGUCUUCCAUCCCUAAGAACUGUAUAUGCUGCCUCCUUAGUGUUCUUCAGACUGUCCACUUGUUUUCAUCUCCGCCACUACUAUGUUCAGUUCGCCACCAUUUUUCUCCUAGAUUAUUUCACAGCCUUUUAACUUGUCUGACAAAGUAAAAUCCUUCAGAGGCUUCCCAUACCCACUGUUCAGGGGAUAACGUCUCAACUCUUUAACACAGUUCAGGACAGCCUCAUCUUCUGGUGUCUACUUAAUUCUCCAGCCUUAUAUCUUCUAGCCUCCUUGUCACACUCUAUGCCCCGGCACAUGCAAACAGUAGCACCAGAAUCCCUAGAACAUGUCAUGUCCUCAUUCAACUCUUGGUCUUUGUACAUUCUAGUCUCUAUGCUUAGAAUGUUUUUUCUUUCUCCCUUUCCCAUCGUGCUUAACAAUAGCUGACAUCUGGUUAUAUCCUCCAGGUCGUAGUUGAGAUAGUUCUUUCUAUCAGGAGGCUUUCCUUGACCUCUUGGUCUGUGUAAUAUGCCCUUCCACUUGCAUCCAUGGCAUCCUGUUAUAAGCACUUUUGUGUAUUAUGCUAUCAGAAAAUAUGCUACGAUAAUAUGUGGUAUGGAAUACAGUAUAAUGUAUUUUAUUGUAACUAUUUUUUCUUUGUAUGUUUGUUAACUUGUUCAUAAUUGUUUAUUUGUUUGUUAUUUGGUUCUCCCUGACUAGACUGUAAGCUCCUUGAGGAGAAGUGCUCUACUUAUUUACUUCAACAGUCUCAAUGCCUAGCACAGUGCCUGAUAUAUACUAGGGGCUCAAUCAUAUCAUUACAUGAUUAAAUGGACAAAUGAAUGAGAACAUCUCAAAGCCAGAUAAAAAUGGCUCUUGGGUUACCAACUAGACCCUGAGUUAACGCAGAUGGAAAGCAGCCACUAUUCCACUAUCAGCAUGGAUGGACGAGCACACUCUUUUUAAAUAAGACAUAGUGAAUAACAUGGAAAGCAGAGGUUUGUUUAAGAAAUGAAAUAAAUGAAUGUUAACUGAUCAAAAAUGUCUAGCUAGCUUUAAAUAUAUCACUUGUUUUUAAUUAAACUGAAUACCUUUAUUUUAUCUUUACCAGAA